rnacentral:lncRNA from 1 species
GCGUGAAGAGGUGCGAGGAUAGCAUCCUUCUGUGAGAAUUUUAUUACUAUUUUUAAUUUUUUAGAAUUUAAAUUAAAUUCUCAAUCUACAUGGAUUUUUGAGGAUUUUUUUUAUUUGAGAAGAUAUGUGAAAAUAUUUCUUCUUUGGUUGCACAUGCACAGACCAGGGUGCUGAUCGAUGUAUCAUGGAUAAGAGUCCUUCUGCUUGAAGGAACUCUUAUCUCUGAUAAUCAGAUCAGAUAUACCUUUUGGAUAAGGCAUGUCCCUCUCUUUUAGAG